ensembl:lncRNA
CCCCCCGUCUCCCCGUGAAGGCUUAGUUAUGGUUGUACGUUGACGCAACGCAGGGGGGUUUACCGACCCAUUACGUCCGUGCGGACCCUCCUUACCUUCACCGUCAGGGCUUGACGUGCGCCUCCCAAAAACGUUAACCUUGCGUUGAGGCGACGCAGUAGCAAGGGCUGUGAUUGGUCCGCUCGCUGAAACCCGACGCACAACCAAAACAGGUUCACGACUGCGUCCAAGCGACUGCGUGGUCAUUGCGUUGCGUUUGACGUCCAAGCGGUCGUCGGGCGUCGCCAUGCUGGUUAUUGUUGGCUCACGGUCGCACGCGCCUGACUCCAAGCCAGUGAGCCCCCCCACCAGCCCGGGAGCUCUCACUUGUACCCCUCCCAUCUCACCGCGACGCUUCCUGUUGUCUGACUGCUCAGAGGAAGCCUGCGCACACAACAGUGUGUGUGUGUGGUGUGUGUGUGUGUGUGUGUCCUGCCGUGUCCCCCUGACCCUUGUCUGAUGAAGCCUGUCCCUCAUAAGCACUUUGUGAGGCCAGCCGCGGGACUGUCCGGUCCGAGAGACCCCUCAGAGAUUAGUGUUGCCCUCCUGAAGAAUGUAACCCACACUGCGGGCAGUCAUCUGAGGUGAGGCGGGUUUAGAGACGGGUUGAGCAGCGGGUGAGCCUGGGAUUAUAUUUAAUGAGGCCUUAGCAUGCUAUAGGGAUGUUAGGAACACUGCAGGGCUCAGCCCUAAACAUAGAAAUAAAGUUUUAACAAGAAGAUACAUCCAAACAGGUCAUUAUCUCAUUACCUUUAAGGCUGUGUCUCGGGAACGCAGCCCCUAACUGUAGUGUCUGCGGCUCCGGGCUACAGCUAUAUGUAGUCUGUGGUGAAAGAGACACCAGAUACACAUUCGCAUGACAUUUAAUUUACGAGUAAAGUUAUACUUUACAAGAAUGCCUUGCUGCACUCACUGUCAGAAAAUAUGAUAUAACAAAAGAGAGAAUCUUGUCUUUGAAGCAGAGAGACGGCCUCCACAUUAUGAACGAAGGCGGCUCGCUCCGUCGUUAGUUAAAGGGCCCGAGACACAUCGACCCUCCAAUGAAACGUUCCCUUAACAUAUCAGGUUGGAAUAAAUGUCAUAUUUGAGUGGUUCAGCGGGCCUGGGGAGUUAUUUAAACCAAACCCAAAUGUCCCAGCCAGCUCGUAAAGGACUCAGUAGGUCUUCAGAUAUUCAUGUGGAUCCGUUCUGCCCACACGUGAACUCUGCACGUUCGCUAGUAAAACGUAGAAUCAAU